UUGAAGGGUGGUUUCGAGGGAACCCUAAAAUGGGACAUACUCACUGGCAUGCUCCACUUGUCUGGAGGGUUCUCACUCACUGGUUAUCAAGUAUGCCGAUAAGGAUGAGUUUUGCAGUCUCUCCCACUUCCAAGUGCUGCCCACAAAUCAGGCCAACACGUUGAUAGUCUCGGGGUCAGGCUUGGAGUCAGAAACUUGCGCCCAAACUUCCCAGACCUUCACUAUUGACUGUAGCAAGACGGGAGAGGCCCCAGAGUAAGAUGGAGCUUGUGGAGGUGACAGACAAUGGGGAUGGAACCUUCUCAGUGGCCUACUCCCCUUCCAAUGGAGGGCCCUCACUCUCUAGUGGUCAAAUAUGCAGAUGAAGAUGAAUUCUGCAGUCCCUUCAACUUACAUGUGAAACCCUCUAAUGAUGCCAACAAGUUGAAAGUGUCUACUCCAGUUUUGGAGUCAUGAGUUUGUGCCAAGAUACCUCAGACCUUCACCAUAGACUAUAGCAAGACUGGAGAGGUCCCAGAAGCUGUGGCUGUCAUGACGACAAGUGGUAAAAUGGAGCUUCUGGAUGUGACAGACAAUGGAGAUGGGACAUACUCAGUGGCCUACUCCCCUUCUAUGGAGGGUUCUCACUCUCUGGUUGUUAAAUAUGUCGAUGAGGAUGAAUUUUGCAGUCUCUCCAACUUCCAAGUGCUGCCCACAAAUCAGGCCAACAAGUUGAAAGUCAGGAAUUUGUGUCAAAACUCCCCAGACUUUCACCAUUGACUGUAGCAAGACUGGAGAGGCUCCAGAGUCUGUUGCUGUUAUGACACCUAGUGGUAAGAUGGAGCUUGUGGAGGUGACAGACAAUGGAGAUGGAACCUACUCUGUGGCCUACUCCCCUUCCAUGGAGGGUCCUCAUUCUCUGGUGGUCAAAUAUGCUGAUGAAAAUGAGUUUUCCAGAUUGCGGUCAUCUUGCUGUUUAAACUAAUCGAGCUGACCCUGGGAGAACUGCAAACUGUUCUUCAGGC